rnacentral:rRNA from 1 species
AGAGAGAGACAUGCGCGCAUAUCAAUAAGCGGAGGAAAAGAAACUAACAAGGAUUCCCUUAGUAACGGCGAGUGAAGCGGGAAGAGCUCAAAUUUGAAAUCUUCAAGGUUUUACCUUGACGAAUUGUAGUUUAAAGAAGUGUUUUCUGCUGAAGUUUUGGUAAAAGUUCUUUGGAAUAGGACAUCAUAGAGGGUGAGAAUCCCGUAUUUGACCAUUAUUUUCAGCUUUGUGAUACACUUUCAAAGAGUCGGAUUGUUUGGGAAUGCUGUCCAAAAUGGGUGGUAAAUUUCAUCUAAAGCUAAAUAUUGGCGAGAGACCGAUAGCGAACAAGUACCGUGAGGGAAAGAUGAAAAGAACUUUGAAAAGAGAGUUAAACAGUACGUGAAAUUGUCAAAAGGGAAGCGUUUGACACCAGUGUUGUUUUCUCGAAAAUCAAUUAAAAAUGGCUCGAUUUUGUAUUGCUUGAGACCUUAAAAGCUCACUGUACAUUUUUCGUGUCUUUUUUAAUGCACUUUUCGUUUAACAAGUCAACAUCAGUUUCUUUUGUUGUAAAAGGGUCAUUGGAAGGUGGCUUUCUUUUCGGAGAAAGUGUUUAUAGCCUUUGGCCUCUGCAAUCGAAGAGACUGAGGUCUGCAGCGUAGACUCUUCGGGGUUAGAUACAUUUGUGCUAAGUUAUAGCCUUUUCAUAGACAACUUGUUGACUAUAAUCAGUCAUGUAGCUUACUCGCUUAUGCUAUUUUACCUACGCUUAGGAUGUUGAAGAUGUAGCACAUCAU